GUACAGACAACAGAACCCCCGCAGGAGACAGACUUUAUCAAAUACAAAGAAGCCGAUGAUAACUUAACUAUACACCUGAGGGACAGAGGACAACUUUACAAACUCACGUUAUCUAGAUCAGAGGACAACUUUACUAACUCACUUGAUUUAGGACAAAGGACAACUUUAUGAAAUACUAAAACUAGGAGAGAUGUAGAGAUCUUUACUAGACUGAUCACAUCUGGAAAAGGAUUGUCAUUGAAAGCCUCAAAGAAACGAAGAAGUGACUGGAUAUCUUAACAAAACACCUGUCAAUCAAGAGAAUACCACCUUCAACGCCCAAAACAUUGAAUCUUUAAGGAAAGAUUUAUCUUCAGAAUAUCAACCACAACUAAAAGAAGUGAAACUCAGAUCCGAAACAGGAGAGAAGCAGGCUCCAUUUCUACCAGGCAGUUAAAGAGAUUAACCUUAACAAAUCACAAAUCAUAUUUAGCUGAAAAACCCACGCUGCAAGAGGAGCCUACACCGUGUCUCGUCCCUCAACAGUAGGUUACACACUGCUUUUGGAAAAUCUGCUUAGAAGCCAAAUCAAAUGAUAAAAAAUGUUUCCUAAAAACCUAGCACUGAGAUCCUACACGGUGAAUCAGCUUCAUUAAGCACAUCAAACAUAAUCAUCUUUACCUGGAAAACCACAGUGGUGAAAAGACUGGACCAUUUAGAGGAGAGGCUUGUGUCCAUGUGGAGUGUAUGCGUAGACCUAAGACAAGGACGACUGUGAAGAAGGCAUCGAUGGCAGGCGGAUCCAGGAAGUGCCAUCCAGCUUGUAUGUAAACAAAGUGCCAUGCCCAUGCUACGACCGGCCUGGCACAGAGGAGGGUGGGCACUAGGGAGUACCACAGUCUCUCCCUUACUCAUACUGCUCCUCUCCAGUCUGCAGGAUCCCCCAUUAGCUGAUGCCAUGAAGCUAACGCUCAAAGAGUUGAUCUCUAAAAGGAAUGAAUAUAGGGAGAACUGCACCAGGACUUUAGCAGAAAGCAUCUUCUCAGGAACUGGAACCUACUGUAACGGGACGGUUGACCUAUUUGUGUGUUGGCCCCACUCAGCUCCUGGUAACGUGUCUGUGCCRUGCCCUUCUUACCUCCCCUGGGUC